rnacentral:rRNA from 1 species
UACGAAGGGUGCAAGCGUUACUCGGAAUUACUGGGCGUAAAGCGUGCGUAGGUGGUUCGUUAAGUCUGUCGUGAAAGCCCCGGGCUCAACCUGGGAAUGGCGAUGGAUACUGGCGGGCUAGAGUGCGAUAGAGGAGAGUGGAAUUCCCGGUGUAGCAGUGAAAUGCGUAGAGAUCGGGAGGAACAUCAGUUGCGAAGGCGGCUCUCUGGACCAGCACUGACACUGAGGCACGAAAGCGUGGGGAGCAAACAGG